ensembl:scaRNA
ACUGGAGGACCAAGAAGGCUGAGUCUGAUGAAGCAAGACUGAUACUGUCCUCAUAGACAAACAAGUGGAGAGAGCAGCCCUUAUCAGAGAAGACACAGGGUGGACUCUACUACCCAACUUUU